GUGCUCGCUUCAGCAGCACAUAUACUAAAAUUGUAAUGAUGAAGAGGUUAGCAUAGCCCCUGUGCAAGGAUGACACGCAGAUUUGUGAAGCGUUCCAUACUUUU